CUACGGGGGGCUGCAGUAAGGAAUAUUGCGCAAUGGAGGCAACUCUGACGCAGCCAUGCCGCGUGCAGGAAGAAGGCCUUAUGGGUCGUAAACUGCUUUUAUUUAGGAAUAAACCCCCGAACGUGUUCGGGGCUGAAGGUACUAAACGAAUAAGCACCGGCUAACUCCGUGCCAGCAGCCGCGGUAAUACGGAGGGUGCAAGCGUUAUCCGGAUUUAUUGGGUUUAAAGGGUGCGCAGGCGGGCUAUUAAGUCAGUGGUGAAAUCCCGGGGCUCAACUCCGGAACUGCCAUUGAUACUGAUAGUCUUAAGUUUGGUUGAAGUGGGCGGAAUGUAGCAUGUAGCGGUGAAAUGCAUAGAUAUGCUACAGAACACCAAUCGCGAAGGCAGCUCACUAAGCCAAAACUGACGCUCAUGCACGAAAGCGUGGGGAUCAAACAGGAUUAGAUACCCUCGUAGUC
rnacentral:rRNA from 1 species